UGCUAGCAUAUCAAUAAGCGGAGGAAAAGAAACCAACAGGGAUUGCCCUAGUAACGGCGAGUGAAGCGGCAACAGCUCAAAUUUGAAAUCUGGCUCUUUCAGAGUCCGAGUUGUAAUUUGCAGAGGGCGCUUUGGCGUUGGCAGCGGUCCAAGUUCUUUGGAACAGGACGUCACAGAGGGUGAGAAUCCCGUACGUGGUCGCUAUCCUUCGCCGUGUAAAGCCCCUUCGACGAGUCGAGUUGUUUGGGAAUGCAGCUCUAAAUGGGAGGUAAAUUUCUUCUAAAGCUAAAUACUGGCCAGAGACCGAUAGCGCACAAGUAGAGUGAUCGAAAGAUGAAAAGCACUUUGGAAAGAGAGUCAAAUAGCACGUGAAAUUGUUGAAAGGGAAGCGCUUGCAGCCAGACUUGCCUGUAGUUGCUUAUCUGGACUUUUGUCCAGUGCACUCUUCUGCGGGCAGGCCAGCAUCAGUUUGGGCGGUUGGAUAAAGGUCUCUGUCAUGUACCUCUCUUCGGGGAGGCCUUAUAGGGGAGACGACAUGCAACCAGCCUGGACUGAGGUCCGCGCAUCUGCUAGGAUGCUGGCGUAAUGGCUGUAAGCGGCCCGUCUUGAAACACGGACCAAGGAGUCUAACAUCUAUGCGAGUGUUUGGGUGUCAAGCCCAGACGCGUAAUGAAAGUGAACGGAGGUAGGAACCCUUUGGGUGCACUAUCGACCGAUCCUGAUGUCUUCGGAAGGAUUUGAGUAAGAGCAUGGCUGUUGGGACCCGAAAGAUGGUGAACUAUGCUUGAAUAGGGUGAAGCCAGAGGAAACUCUGGUGGAGGCUCGCAGCGGUUCUGACGUGCAAAUCGAUCGUCAAAUUUGGGCAUAGGGGCGAAAGACUAA
rnacentral:rRNA from 1 species